UUCACCGAACCAUUCGGAUGGAUUCGCGAGCCGGUUUGCCCUUCCGGAGUGAGUAGUGUAUGUCGAAGGGAUUAAUUUAUUUGCUGAGAAGCUGUAGCCGACGGAAAAUACGCAUGAUUUCUACGAAAAGAGGACUGAUUACCGCAAGGAGCCGUUUGCAUAAUCAGGAGACUCGGGAGAACACAAUUUAGGACUCGACGAAAACAGCUGCCUUGCGUGAUCUUAGUCGAUUUGCUCUGCUAUCUGUCUGUGUACUGACCAUCCGGCGAAAAUUGGCAAAGAAAAGGCUAAAACUGAUAUUCAGCAAGUCAACCGAAGAGGAGCUAUUGGCACGCAAGCAACGUGUGCACAGUGGACAACCGAGCAUGGUAGUCUCAGUGAUGAAAAUUUAAUACCAAGUGCUAUAAAUACCACGCCAAAACAAAAUCGUGAUUUACGAGAAGAAGCACAUUUGCAUCAAUGUGAUAGUUUCCUCUAUUUUUUGCUGUUUGUGUUUUUGUUUACCCAUCUUGCUCUGUCAAUGGAAAAGAAAACAAUUUUCUAAACGUUAUUAUUUUUGAAUCUCGUGCUCUGUGCUCCGUGUGAUUCUGUCCGGAUCGAUUUCGCCCAGUGUCACGUAGAACCUUCCUCCGAAGUGGCGAUACUAGUUUCAACCAGUCGCCAAUCGGUCUCGAAAACUGUUUUGGCAUGAAAAACCGCUUGUUUGGCAGCGAGCAUUGAUUCAGAUAAAAGUUGUUUGAUACAGCCAACAGCAGCCAAGUUCAUUGUGCGGACUAUGAACGAACCAACUGUUCACACCUUAACCCUAUUCAACCAGCGAAAGCCGUCCGAUAGCUACCAGUCGACCUUCUGAUGGAAUAAAUAAUAUAUACAACAGUUGCAAGGAAAAGCUAGAAGUUAGUUUAGCAGCAGUUUAGCAGCGGUGAGAAAAAGUCAGCUAACAAACACGCAAGAAAAAAAGUGAUUGAAUUGUAUGAGUGUAAAUAAUUGAACAGAAUGCAAGUGAGUCUCCCUAAAGAUAAUCCCAUUUGUACAUAGCACCUCGGCGCAUCGUUAGAUAGGUUUUGUAUGUAAAAAUUUUCAAAACAAAAACAAAAAAAAAACCAGUUCGGAAUUCGAAGAAUUGUUUGGCCCCAUAGUACGAGUAAUUAAGUAGUUAAAACACCCACUACCAAGAAUCAAGAUCUUCAAGCACAAGUGUUAUUGAGAAAAAAUUAUCUAGCGCUGCUGCUAUCGUAGUGAAGUGAAUCCUAGCCGGAGAAAAUGAUCAACAAGAGUUACCUGGUUCUGCCGCUACUCGGGCUGCUCUUCGGAUACGCAGCUGGCCUGGAGGAGGACUGUGUUGAUUUCCAGGGUAACUCGGUAGCCCACGGGUUGUUGUACGUACCUGGACCGGGCGUGUGCAGUCUGUGCGUGUGUUACCACUCAGAGCCGCUCUGGUGCAAAGCAAUCUACUGUGAUCCACCCUAUUUUUGUAAAAAGUUCCGCGUAGGGGAACGGUGCUGUGAAUUCGAAUGCUUAGAUCCGCCCGGAGAGGAUGAAAUGUAUCAGGUGUGCGUCAGUGAUUGUGAUGGUGUGGUUGCUGGUCGAGACUGAUCACAGUAGAGGCGCGCUGACGUUAACGCCAACACUCCCCCCAGGUGUGCGUCAGUGAUUGUGAUGGUGUGGUUGCUGGUCGAGACUGAUCACAGUAGAGGCGCGCUGACGUUAACGCCAACAGAUGGGGUAACUACUUUUUUGCAUCAGGAAUCAAGUUUUCGUUCCUCUUUAUAUGGACGUGCGUACGCGUGUACAAAAUUAGUAUCAGGGGGAAAUGGAAAUGUGGAUUGAGGCCCGCCUACGGAAGCGUGCUGAAAUCCUAGCUGGCAACAGCGCCAACCACCCACUGAGGACGUCCAGUACCGUGAACUACCUGCUAGGAACCACAGCAUUGCUGGGAAUAUUGUCCACUAGCUUAAGACGCAGGU